UCACGUCACUACCAUCAGAAUUUGUAAAUCGUUCAGCACCUAAAAUCAAAUCUUCUCGCGCAAGACCCACCUGAAAUGAAAAAUGAUCCUAGCCAACUUGAUGGUCUGGCGGAGGACGUCGAUCAGAGAUGCAGGACAUCGCUGAAGCUCCGCAGUCGAUGGCCACUCGAUGCCACUUUAAGAACUUUCGCACGCAGCAAACAGCUAUAACAGAAAGCUUUGUCGAUAUUCAAAAGGUAACACUAAGCUAGCUACGAAUGCCAUAGACGAACUUUAGGGGGUAACCCUCAAAUCAGGGAGUUCUUAAGGGAAUAAAACUUAGAGACACUCAAAGGCGAUCACUCACUAGACUCAAUGUGAUGUGAAAAAAUUAGUAUACGUAUUUUUAAAUAAAAAUUUCAAAUUAUUGCCGUUAGGAAUUGCUUCAAAAGCUUGGCCCUUCCCAGCACAAAACGAAGUAUGUGCUCACUCGACCUUACGUGUUCUUAAUUCUAGCCCGUGCCGUGGUCUGGGUGAUCUUCUAGACUGCGUAGCCAUGAUAAGCAUUUAAUGUCGGGAAUGUAGUCAUGCUUGUUCAACUCUCAUCGCUGGCAAAAAUGUUUACUAGAAAAUUAUAGCUAGGAAAAAAAAGAAAAAAAAUAGCAAUCAAUGAAAUUAAAUGAUUAUUAGUAUCAUUAAUGCUAGUAGCUCCUCGUAAGGUUGCCAUAGGUCUAUUGGAAAUAAUCCAUAAAUUGAAAUUCCUAGUUCGAGAAAAGCUAUAUUUAAAAAAAAAAAAAAAAAAA